rnacentral:rRNA from 1 species
GUGAACGCUGGCGGUGGGCCUAACACAUGCAAGUCGAACGGCAGCACAGUAAGAGCUUGCUCUUACGGGUGGCGAGUGGCGGACGGGUGAGGAAUACAUCGGAAUCUACUUUUUCGUGGGGGAUAACGUAGGGAAACUUACGCUAAUACCGCAUACGACCUACGGGUGAAAGCAGGGGAUCUUCGGACCUUGCGCGAUUGAAUGAGCCGAUGUCGGAUUAGCUAGUUGGCGGGGUAAAGGCCCACCAAGGCGACGAUCCGUAGCUGGUCUGAGAGGAUGAUCAGCCACACUGGAACUGAGACACGGUCCAGACUCCUACGGGAGGCAGCAGUGGGGAAUAUUGGACAAUGGGCGCAAGCCUGAUCCAGCCAUACCGCGUGGGUGAAGAAGGCCUUCGGGCUGUAAAGCCCUUUUGUUGGGAAAGAAAAGCAGCAGGUUAAUACCCCGCUGUUCUGACGGUACCCAAAGAAUAAGCACCGGCUAACUUCGUG